rnacentral:rRNA from 1 species
AGUGAACGCUGGCGGUAGGCCUAACACAUGCAAGUCGAACGGCAGCACAGUAAGAGCUUGCUCUUACGGGUGGCGAGUGGCGGACGGGUGAGGAAUACAUCGGAAUCUACUUUUUCGUGGGGGAUAACGUAGGGAAACUUACGCUAAUACCGCAUACGACCUACGGGUGAAAGCAGGGGAUCUUCGGACCUUGCGCGAUUGAAUGAGCCGAUGUCGGAUUAGCUAGUUGGCGGGGUAAAGGCCCACCAAGGCGACGAUCCGUAGCUGGUCUGAGAGGAUGAGCAGCCACACUGGAACUGAGACACGGUCCAGACUCCUACGGGAGGCAGCAGUGGGGAAUAUUGGACAAUGGGCGGAAGCCUGAUCCAGCCAGACCGCGUGGGUGAAGAAGGCCUUCGGGUUGGAAAGCCCUUUUGUUGGGAAAGAAAAGCAGCGGGUUAAUACCCCGCUGUUCUGACGGUACCCAAAGAAUAAGCACCGGCUAACUUCGUG